UUGAUUUUUAAUAUUUCUUCUCUUUUGCUGACUUUGCACUAACAAACUUGUUUUUUUUCUAGUUCCUUUAGGUGUAACAUUAGGUUAUUUACUUGAGAUGUUUCUUCUUUUCUUUAAUCUAGGCAUUUAUUGCUGCAAAUUUUACUGUUAGAACUGCUUUUGCCAUAUCCCACAGGUUUUGGUGUAUUGUAUUUCCAUUUUAGUUGGUUUCAAGAUAUUUAAAAAAUUUUUAUUUUAAUUUCUUCAUUGACUCAUUUGUUGUUCAGGGCAUCUUGUUUAAUUUCCAUAUAUCUGUGAAUUUUCCAAAAUUCCUGUUGCUAUUUACUUCUGGUUUCAUGGCAUUGUGGUCAAAAGAGAUUUGAAACUAUUUCAGUCCUCUUACAUUUGCUGAGGCUUGUUUUGUGACCUAAUGAUCUAUCUUGGAAAAUGUUCUGUGUGCCCUUGAGAAGAAUGUGUAUUCUGUUUCUAUUGGAUGAAAGGUUUUAUAUUUGUCUGUUAAGUUCCUUUGUUUGAAAGUGUUGUUCAAGUCCAAUAUUUCCUUAUUAAUAUUUUGUCCAGAUGAGAUAUCCAUUGUUCAAACUGGAGUAUUGAUGCUCCCAAGUAUUACCAUAUUGCAAUCUGUCUCUCCCUCCAGAUCCUAUAUUUUAUAAAUUAUGGUGUGGUAUUGGGGAAUUACAAAUUUACAGCUGUUCUGUUCUCUUGAUGAAUUGAAUCCUGUAUCAUUACAUAAUGUCUUACUUUGUCUCUUUUUACAAUUUUUGACUUUAAGUCUAUUUUGUCUUAUAUGUUUAGCUAUCCCUACUCUCUUUUGUUUUCCAAAAUAAUUUCAAUUUAUGUGCCAAUUUAUCAUCCCACUGUCUCCUGGCCUCUAGGGAUUCUGCUGAGAAAUUCACUGAUAGUUGUAUUGGCACUCCUUUUUACAUGAUGUGUUUCUUAUCUUUUGCUGCUCUCAGAAUGUGUUGUCUUUGAUUUUUGGUGAUUUGAUUAUUGUGUUUCUUGGUGAACUCUUCUUUGAGUUGAAUUUGAUUAAAUAUCCCUGUGUUUCCUAUACCUAGAUGUUGGCAUCUAUCCCUAGAUUAAGGAAGUCUUUAGGCAAUGUAUCUUCAAAUAUGAGUUCUUGCCCUUUAUCUCUUUCUGUAAUUCCUAUUACGCAAAGGUUUGAUGUUUUGAUGGUGCCCUAUAGUUCCUGUAGGUUUUCUUCAUUCUUUUUCAGUCUUUGUCUUUUUGCGUCUCUGACUGGAUAAUUUCAAAUUUUCUAUUUUCUGGCCCAUUGAUUCCAUCAGAAGAAAGAUCGAGCCUGUUGUUAAAAAUUUUUACUGAAUUUUUCAGUCCAGUCAUUGUACUCUUCAUCUCUAGGAAUCUUACUUGAUUCUUUUUAAUGUUUUUAUUUCAUUGUUGAGCUUCUCACUUUGUGCAUUGUUUUGCCAAAUUUCAUUAAAUUUAUAUUUGUAUACUCCUGUAUUGAUCUUUUACAGGAUUAUUUUAAAUUAUUUGUCAGUAAUUUCAUAGAUCUCCUCUUCUUUGGGGGUCUAUCAUUGGCACUUUAUCAGUCUCUUUUGUAGGUGUUAUGAUUCCUUGCUUUUUUGUAAUCCUUGUGUUCUUGCAUUUUUAUCUGCACAUUUGCAAAACAGCCCCUCUUCUGUUCUUUAAGUUUGUUUUGAGACAGGAAUAGAUCUUCACUAUUUAGUCCAUCCUGUGAUUCUGGAAGGACCAGCUGGUGAUGACCCCAGCAGGCAGAGCUUGUUAUGGGUUCUCUAGUUGGCUGGGAUGCCGCUUUUGCUCUCAUAUCAUCUGACGUCAACAUCUGGUAUCAGAUACUGUCUGGGCUGCACUAUCUGAUGAGAUUACUGGCUGGGCUCUGCUAUCAGGCAGUACUGUGAUAUCUUCUGGUCAGGUCAAUCACAGUAUAUUCCCUUAAUAAACAAUUUCACUAUUUGGUUUCUUUAGUUGUGCAGGACCAUAAGCUGUCCUCUGACUUUAGGCAGAGUUGCUGCUUAUGAUAGGUGGGACCAGGGGCAAUGCUCCUUCGAAGAGCAUGAUUGAGGAUUGUUUCCCUGUGAGGGUGAAGCCAUGGGAUGGGCUUUUGGUAGGUUAUAGCUGCUGCUUGACUUACAUCAUCAAGCUGGUCUUGUCCCUUUGCUUCUUAGAAAUGGGUAGAGAUGGGCAUCUCCAUGCCUGGUUGGGGUCACCGGGAGCCUCUGAGGCUAGGCAUGAAGACUAGCUGUCUUGGGACACAACCUGCUACCCACUGUGUUUCUGAAAGUGACUAGCUUAGUAUUGUGGGCUAUGAAAUUUGCUGGUUUCUUUGGAUUCCACAGCUGGCAGGAACACAGAGAUACCACCAAGAUUCAUGGUGCUGGUACUAUGACCUCUGCCUCCUUUCUUUGUUUCUACCUGACUCCAGUGGUCAAACCAUGCCAUUUUCCUUAUUGUUCUCUAUGAGAUGAGACUGGAGUGGGCUUCCUGAGAAGAAUCUCAAAAUGCUAGGGAAGCUGGAUGACUGUUUCUGGCCUUCCUUUCCCCUGUAGCAACUCUAGGCCCAGAAAAAUCAUUUGUCUAAUGUUGUGUUGACUUACGGAGAGGCUGGUGGUAUGGCCAAAGACAGAUAAUUGUUCUUAUUCUUAUAUUCAGUUUUCAUUCAGUUCUUUGGACCACACAGACAUCUCAGGCUUGUUGGCAAGUAUUGGGUUUAUAAAAAGAUGGUCUGGUCUGUGUAUAGUUGCUAGUUGAACUUUCUGUGACAGGAAGUGGCGCAUGAGAUUUCCUAUUCCACCAUCUUGCUGAUAUCAUGCUUAAGAAUUUUAUUUUAAAAUAAAAACUUAUCAUUGCCAUAAAUGGAAAAUGAGUAGAUUACAAGUAAGCAUAAAAUAAACAAAUUGAAAACAAAUUAGUAUUAUUAAAUUCUGGCUAAUCAUUAUACAGAUUUCUCCUCAAUUUACAGUGGGUUGUGUCCUGAUAAACCCAUCAUAACUUAAAAUAUUAUAAGUCAAAAUGCAUUUAAUACUCGAAGAAACCCAAUGUAAAGUUGAGAAACAUAAGUCAAACUGUCGUAAAUUGGGGAUUGUCUAUAUUGUCUGAUGAAGGUGAGCCUGAGGCUUAUAAUCUGACUUUUUCUCUCAGAAGUUGCCAGUAUUGAGGCAUUUUAGCACAAAAUUGAUAUGUUCUCCAUGAUGUAAUCAGAGAAUUGAAAGAAAAUUGGAAUAGGACUAACUUCCUCACAGUGUAAUUUAGUGUUAUUUAACUAUUUUCACAUGUACACCAUAUGUACUCCACUCAUUGGGAAAUUCCUGCAGAAUUAAUUUGAAAUCCUUUUUUGUGUCAUGUAAAUCUUUUCAUGAUCUCUAUCUUGCCUGCCUUAUGUUCUGCUUUUUUUCUCUUGCAUUUUCUCCUUAGCAAACUGGGCAAAGGACUGUUAUGAUGAUUAAAUGAAUUCAUUCAUAUAAAAAGCUUCGAAGUGCUCAAUAAAUAUUAGCUGUUACUAUUAUGUUUUUCUAAUUAUCAUAUAUUCUGCCUCUUUGAAAAUAGUGUCACAUAUUCCUGGAACAUCCUGUCUCAUUUAUUUGUCCAGCUAUUUUUUCUUUGCAAGCCUCAGCUCAAGCACUCUUCCUCUGUAAAGACUCUCCUGAAUCUUCCCAAACCUCACUGUACCUUGAAUACAUUCCCCAUAUGUCAGCUAUCAUACUGUCUUUGGUUAUAUGCAUGGUUUCUACUGGUCUGUAACUUCCUUCAGGGCAGAAACUGUAUCUUCUUGUCUUUUAAUCCCUAGCACCUCACCUAGUCAGACACAGACAGGUGCUUACAGUGUUUAUUUUUUAAUUCAAUAAAAAUGUAUUAAGGGCUUAUGUAUGCCAUACUUUAUGCUAGGUAUUGAUGGUCCAAAGAUGAAAAAUACAUGGCCUAGAAGUAGGAGUUUCCCAAAAAUAUAUAUGAUAUUCAUUAAAAAUAUUAUUACUCUUUUGGAAGGCAGGAAGUAGGUCAGCAACGGAGGUGUCUGUUUAACUGCACCGGACUCACUGCCGCCGCCGCUGUGGGAUCCAAGUGCUGGCGUGGGCACGGGUGCUCCCUGUGAGCCACAGUGGUGCUGGCUAGAGUGCAUACGUUUGGACCCAAGCUUAACUUUUCCAGUGUGGAAUCCUAGGCCUUCAUUGGUUUUGGAAGAAGCUAACUGCCUGAAAAGAAAUUGUAAAACAUGAAAAUCACUUUGAGGUGACCAAUAAGUCCAGAGGCCCCUAACUCUUCCCAAGCUGGAUCUUCGGUGUAAGAGCUGUAACUUCAGAGAAUCCAAUGGCAGACCAGAGAAUGAACAUUUCUUCAACCAUCAGUGAUUUCAUGUCCCGGGGCCCCACUGACCUGCUGUCCAGCUCUCUUGGUACCAGUGGUGUGGAUUGCAACUGCAAACGGAAAGGCAGCUUCACUGAUUACAUGUCGAAUUUGGGGAGCACGAUAGCUGGAGGUCAGAUGCCCACUCCGAGAUGCUAUGAUUAAUAUAGAAAGCAUGGACACAGACAAAGAUGACCCUCAUGGAAGGUUAGAAUACACAGAACACCAAGAAAGAAUAAAAAAUGCAAGGGAAGCUCACAGAUUGAAAAGCGGUGUCAGAAUAAAAUGAACAGUUUUAUAGAUGAAUUGGCCUCUUUGGUACCAACAUGCAAUGCAAUGUUCAGGAAAUUAGAUAAACUUACUGUGCUGAGGAUGGCUGUUCAGCACAUGAAAACAUUAAGAGGUGCCACCAAUCCAUAUACAGAAGCAAACUACAAACCAACUUUUCUAUCAGACGAUAAAUUGAAACACCUCAUUCUCAGUGCAGCAGAUGGAUUUUCGUUUGUGGUAGGAUGUGACCGAGGGAAGAUACUCUUUGUCUCAGAGUCUGUCUUCAAGAUCCUCAGCUACAGCCAGAAUGAUCUGAUUGGUCAGAGUUUGUUUGACUACCUGCAUCCUAAAGAUAUCGCCAAAGUCAAGGAGCAACUCUCCUCCUCGGACACCGCACCCCAGGAGCAGCUCAUAGAUGCAAAAACUGGACUUCCAGUUAAAACAGAUAUAACCCCUGGGCCAUCUCGAUCAUGUUCUGGAGCAUGACGUUCUUUCUUCUGUAGGAUGAAGUGUAACAGGCCUUCGGUAAGGGUUGAAGACAAAGACUUCCCCUCUACCUGCUCAAAGAAAAAAGAUCAAAAAAAGCUUCUGCACAACCCACAGCACAGGCUAUUUGAAAAGCUGGCCACCCACAAAGAUGGGGCUGGAUGAAGACAAAGAACCAGACAACCAGACAACGAGGGGUGUAACCUCAGCUGCCUGGUCGCAAUUGGAUGACUGCAUUCUCCUGUAGUUCCACAACCGGUCAACGGGGGAAAUCAGGGUGAAAUCUAUGGAAUAUGUUUCUCAGCACGCAAUAGAUGGGGAGUUUGUUUUUGUAGACCAGAGGGCAAUGGCUAUUUUGGCAUAUUUACCACAAGAACUUCUAGGCACAUCAUGUUAUGAAUAUUUUCACCAAGAUGACAUAGGACAUCUUGCAGAAUGUCAUAGGCAAGUUUUACAGAUGAGAGAAAAAAUUACAACUAAUUGCUAUAAAUUUAAAAUCAAAGAUGGUUCUUUCAUCACACUAUGGAGUCGAUGGCUCAGAUUCAUGAAUCCUUGGACCAAGCAAAUAGAAUACAUUGCCUCAGCUAACACUGUUGUUUUAGCCAACAUCCUGGAAGGUGAGGACCCAACCUACCUUCAGCUCACAGCAUCCCCCCAACAGCAUGGACAGCAUGCUGCCCUCUGAAGAAGGUGGCCCAAGAGGGGGACCCACCCUACUGUUCCAGGGAUUUCAGGGGGACCCUGGGCUGGGGCAGGAAAAAUAGGCCAAAUGAUUGCUAAGGAAAUCAUGGAAAUCCACAGGAUAAGACGGUUGUCGCCUUCUAGCUGUGGCUCCAGCCCAUUGAACAUCACGAGUAUGCCUCCCACUGAUGCCUCUUCUCCAGGAGGCAAGAAGAUUUUAAAUGGAAGGACUCCAGACAUUCCUUCCAGUGGCCUCUAUCAGGCCAGGCUCAGGAGAACCCAGGUUAUCCACAUUCUGAUAGUCCUUCUAUUCUUGGUGAGAACCCCCACAUAGGUAUAGACAUGAUUGACAAUGACCAAGGAUCAAGUAGUCCCAGUAAUGAUGAAGCAGCAAUGGCUUGGAAACAGAUGCUGGACUGAGUGGCACUGAUGACUUUAGCAACUUGACAUGGCCGCUGUAAACACUACAUUUUGCUUUGGCAACGACCCUAGUAUCAAAGUGCAUUACUGGUGGAGUUUUACAGUCUGUGAAGCUUACUGGAUAAGGAGAGAAUAGCUUUUAUGUACUGACUUCAUAAAGGCCAUCUCAGAGCCAUUGAUACAAGUCAAUCUUACUAUGUGUAACUUCAGACACAGUGGAACUAAUCCUGCUCCAGUGUUUCCUCAUCAUUGAUUAUUGGGCUAUUUGUGAAUAGCUUGCAUUAAUUGUAUAUUUUGGAUUCUGUUUGUGUUGAAUUUUUUAAUCAUUGUGCACAGAAGCAUCAUUGGAAGCUUUUAUAUGCAAAUGGUCAUUUCGGAUGUAUGGUGUUUUUAUACUACCAAGAAAUCCCCCAUGUGGAUAUUUCUUAUACUAAUUAUAUCAUAAAGUCAUUUAUUCUUCCUUGUAAGAAUCCUUUACUAUAAGUAUCAGACAGUUAAAUAUUUUAAAUAAAUGUUUCCCUUGUUCUAUAAAAAAACUGUUAUAAAUUUUUAUUUAAAAAAGCAAAAGCCUCCAAUAAGACUUGAAUAUACCCUCACACUUUAUAAGGCUGGGUCUCAAACCAUUAUGCUGAGGUACAUACUGGAAUUCCACUUACUUUAUCUCAUUUAGGUAACAGAUUUUUCGGGUCUCCAAUGGCAAAGACUAUGUAUCUAAGUGUCAUUAUCCCUUUGAUGUAGUUGGCAUUAAUUGUUUACUUCAGGUAAAUAAUUACUAAUAAUAGAUUUAUAAUUAUUUGAAAUGGCAUUGUGACUACUUAAUCUACUAUUACACAAAUUUUAAAAUCACUUAAUAUACUUAGCCUUGCAGAUGUUACUGAAAACCUAGAAUAACGGAUGCUUAUGGAAAUCACAGUUUUGAUACUUGAAAUGUGUACAUGUUAGCAUGGUAUAGUGGCUUUACUUAUGGUACAUCUGUGCAAUUAGUUUCUUCUUUUUUGUAGGUAAUUUUUAGGGCUGGAGAUACCAACGAUGAUGCAGUGUUGGACUUCAGAGAAUUUAUGCAGUAUCUUCAAGACCAUGAGAAGAAAAUGAAGCUGGCAUUUAAUAGUCUGGACAAAAAUGAUGAUGAUACUUUAACCUGACAUUUUUUCAUUCUUCAAGGAGUAAUAGAUGCCUCAGAAAUAAUUGCUGCUUUGAAAUCUUUGGGUAUGCAUAUUUCUGAAGUCCAGGCAAAAACAAUUCUGAGCAGCAUGGAUAGUGAUGGGUCAAUGACAGUAGACUGGG